rnacentral:misc_RNA from 1 species
CAAGUACUGAAAAAAAAAAAAAAAACUUAAAAAUUACAGGGGGAGAGGAGGGAAACCAAGAUCAUUGCGGCCAAAACAGACCACCAUGAUAGUGACGAUGAACAAGACUCUGCCUUUUCGAACUGCAGAGAAUCAACUGCCAAUGGCAUGUUUUCUUGGUCCGGGCUGCACUUGGAUUCGUGGGGUGGAUGGGCACUGUACAUUAUGGCUCGUAAAACGGCUGAAACCGUCGGUAUAUAGGCCGUCUUGUUGCGGGCGAGCAGCCAUGUCAGACCCAUCAACUGGCAGUCCCUAUUGAACAUAUUGCUUGCCCUGUCAUCUCUUCCCUCCUCUGUUUGGUUCUUGUUGCUGGCCUUCACCUGCAAUUAGCAAACAUUUUCAAGGGCAUUUUAGUCCCCAGAAAAACAAUGUGCGAGGACAAAAAAGUUGAAGAAGAAAGGUGCAUGCUGAAGGGGAUAGCCAGAACCACAUGAGCAGGGGUCGUUUUCUAGUUGGUAAUGGUCUAUGGCAAGAAAGACUUUGGUUCAUUUCACAAAAAGGCAAAAGAAAAAACACCUCCCCAAGUGGACUUUCACUUUCAUAUUACUCAUGUGCCAUUUUCAGCCUAUAAUUGUAAAAAACACCAUGCCUUGAAUUAUCUCUCUUUGGUCUCCACUAAAAUUAGCUCAAGAUUGUUAUUCCCAGAAACCCAGUUUGCCUUUUCUUGGUUUCAAGUAAUGGAAAAGGGAAACUAACCAAAAAUACUCUUGAGCUACUAAUUAAAUGGCUACAAAGUCCAAAUUCUGAACUACUAAUUCAAUGGUUACAAAACCCAGUUUUCCAAAUGAGGUAGUGUAGCAUAAAAUUGACUCUUAGAUGAGUAUUUAAUUUAAUGAAAUCCAAAGGAAUUCACACAAAAUCACCAACCUAAUAAAUGCAAUUCCUUUAUUCAUUGAAGCAACUCCAAGUAGUCACCAACAUAAUAAAUGCAGGUAAUACCUCAAAAACUGACCUUUUGGAGGGCGCCAAGGCACUUAGUACACCCAGCGUACGAGGAAUUCUUACAAUUCUUCUCCAAAUUCCUCACAGCAGCAGUGGGAGUGGCAUUAUGGAAGCCAGAGCUGACAUUGAAAGCCGCAGGGCAACUCAGAGAACUGAUCUGGUGAAGCCUAAUCCCACAAAAGCACAAUAUAGCAUCGCAGCUCGCAUUCGGUUGAGGUAUCUUCACGUUCCUGCUCAACAGCGAGCUUUGCAGCGAAUUCACGCAUUUUUGAGAGUCAUCCGGCAUCAUUGGUUGGUCAGGUUCCGCCGAUGUCGGGGCAGAGGCCGGGACCUGAAGGGCAUACCGAGCGUGAGCAGCGAAGAGCCACGCGGCUAACACCGGGCAACACCUGCUCCGGUCCAGGUCUCGGCCGCAUGCAUCGUUGACACCUCCAAAUAGCUCCGCUGAGAGGUCCAGCCGGCACGUUUGCGACUCGGUUUGAACCGGAAAUGCCGGAACAGUAUUAGGGGUGGAGUAGUCGCGCGGUUUUAGUGGCUGGUUUUCGCUAGAAACAGGUUGGCUUAGAAAACCAGCAAGACAAGGAGUAUAUAAGCAGUAGAAGAAUAUGAGUAAAACAAAAGUCAUUGUAAGAAGAAAUGAAAAAGUGGGUCUGAUUAGCUUCCUCUGGAGUUGUGGAAAGUAGUAAAAAGCAGGAAGAUUUGUGAAUGAGAUGAGGUUUGAAUCUGGUUUUAAUUGAAGGGUUUGUAUUAAAUGAUUGAAGAAGAAGGAAAAGUAGAGGAAUCAGGAGAUAUUCAAAGGAAAUGAGUGGGUUUGGUGACUUUUAUCUGGGAUGGGUUAGAGUUGAGAGAGAGAGAGAGAGAGA